AAAUAAAAUUUCAUAUCUAAAUACUGCUGUCAUUAUUGAAAGCUUUUCUAACCUGUGUCUCAAGGCCAUUUACCAACCCCCAUAAAACGAUGCAGUAUAUUCUACUCAUUUCCAAACAAAAAAAGCAUUUGCAGUGUGAUAUUCCAGCUUCAUUUUAAACUUUCCUUUGCAAUAAAUGGUUCUGAAUCUAUUUGAGACAAAUCACAGAGAUUGAUAAAUUAUAUGGAAUUUAACACAUUUCUCUAUUGAUUUUAGAUGCUCCCAACAACACCUCAGUAUCAGUGAGCCCCUCUGGUGAAAUAGUGGAGGGCAGUUCAGUGACUCUGACCUGCAGCAGUGAUGCCAACCCACCAGUGCAGAACUACACCUGGUUUAAGAAGAAUGAUACUGCUGGAGUCUGGCAGGCAGGAUCUGGACAGAGUUUGAACUUUUCUAACUUUAGAUCCUGGAACAGAGGACAGUAAUACUGUGAGGCACAGAACAGACUUGGAGCUCAGAAUGCUUCUGCUCUGCUGGUCACAGUACAAGAGCAAAGCCUUCAGAGAGUGACAAACGCAGCCAGCGACACAAACUCUGUGCUUCAGAGAGCUGACGAGGCCUCAGUGUGGGAUUAAAACACACAGAGGAGAGAAUCUGCAGAGAAUGAGAAAUGGUGGAGAUCAGGGUGAAAGAGUCUCUUUUUGUCUUUAACUUUGCAGAACUGCUGUAUGUUUCUGCUAGAUUAUCCAUCUUAUAAAGAGCUGCUGGUGGAGGAUUUUUCCCAGAGUACUGUAACCCUGCUGCAACAUGCAUGUUCAUGUAACCCUGCUGCAACAUGCAUGUUCAUGUAACCCUGCUGCAAAAUGCAUGUUCAUGUAACCCUGCUGCAACAUGCAUGUUCAUGUAACCCUGCUGCAUACAUGCUCCUGUGACACCGUUACACGUUUAUAUAACUCUGUUACACACACGCUCAUAACUCAUGUACAUGCGCAUGUACUCUCUCACGUUGAAUGGGAAGAUUAUAAUGCAGAUUAAUGCAGAUUGUAAUCUCCAAACUCUUGGUAACUUUUAAAAGCAAGGUCCAACAUCUUUUAAAACAGUGUUUUAGCUUUACAUUUUACAUUGCCUUGUUGUAUUGACCCCAUUUUUACUUUCUGUCUGUUUAGCUAUUUGAAAUAAUGUAUCUUUGUGUUUGUUUUCUUUACAUACAUUGUUUUAUUAUGUCUAUCAAUAUAUUAUGAUUUAUUUGAGCAUUGUAUAGCACUGUGAACCUUGAACCUCUUUUUUGAUAAAGAUUAUCAUUAUUUUCUUUACAUGGCCAUCAUGUUUUGCCUGCAAACGCCGCCCCCCCAAAUAAAAUAAAAUAAAAUAAAAUAAACAAAUUAAAUAAUA